CCAGACAGCAGGCAACCAGACACAUAGAGUCCCCAGUCUCCUGGGUCUCAGUUGAGUGAAUACCUGUGAAAUCACCAGUGCUUGAGAAAUGCUGCCUCAAG